AAAUAGCCCCGAUUGCAGCGGCAUCCUUUUUUCUUUUGUCUGGAGAAAGCCUUGGAAAAGAAAAAAGAUAUAGCGGAAAGCGGGAUAAAGC
rnacentral:sRNA from 1 species